AGUGAACGCUGGCGGUAGGCCUAACACAUGCAAGUCGAACGGCAGCACAGUAAGAGCUUGCUCUUACGGGUGGCGAGUGGCGGACGGGUGAGGAAUACAUCGGAAUCUACUUUUUCGUGGGGGAUAACGUAGGGAAACUUACGCUAAUACCGCAUACGACCUACGGGUGAAAGCAGGGGAUCUUCGGACCUUGCGCGAUUGAAUGAGCCGAUGUCGGAUUAGCUAGUUGGCGGGGUAAAGGCCCACCAAGGCGACGAUCCGUAGCUGGUCUGAGAGGAUGAUCAGCCACACUGGAACUGAGGCACGGUCCAGACUCCUACGGGAGGCAGCAGUGGGGAAUAUUGGACAAUGGGCGCAAGCCUGAUCCAGCCAUACCGCGUGGGUGAAGAAGGCCUUCGGGUUGUAAAGCCCUUUUGUUGGGAAAGAAGAGCAGCAGGUUAAUACCCCGCUGUUCUGACGGUACCCAAAGAAUAAGCACCGGCUAACUUCGUG
rnacentral:rRNA from 1 species